rnacentral:rRNA from 1 species
AUGAACGCUGGCGGCGUGCCUAAUACAUGCAAGUCGAGCGCACAGACGAGGAGCUUGCUCCUCUGACGUUAGCGGCGGACGGGUGAGUAACACGUGGAUAACCUACCUAUAAGACUGGGAUAACUUCGGGAAACCGGAGAUAAUACCGGAUAAUAUAUUGAACCGCAUGGUUCAAUAGUGAAAGACGGUUUUGCUGUCACUUAUAGAUGGAUCCGCGCCGCAUUAGCUAGUUGGUAAGGUAACGGCUUACCAAGGCAACGAUGCGUAGCCGACCUGAGAGGGUGAUCGGCCACACUGGAACUGAGACACGGUCCAGACUCCUACGGGAGGCAGCAGUAGGGAAUCUUCCGCAAUGGGCGAAAGCCUGACGGAGCAACGCCGCGUGAGUGAUGAAGGUCUUCGGAUCGUAAAACUCUGUUAUUAGGGAAGAACAAAUGUGUAAGUAACUAUGCACGUCUUGACGGUACCUAAUCAGAAAGCCACGGCUAACUACGUG